ACACUGGAAAUUCAGAGACUGUUCAAAUGGAAUUGUCUCCUGCCCAUGGUAUUUUCUUGGUUGUUUUUCAAAACAGAAAUACUUGGUCAGUAGUAGUUAAAAACGCUUGAAAUGCAUUUGUUCAUGACCAAUGAAAACGCUGUACGACAGGCAAGGAACACAGCCAGGAGCAGGGAUCUAAGAAACUCUGAACGGAGAUCUGUAAGGUUUGAAAGCAAUGACUUGACGUUUUUAUCCAUGAAUGAAACAACCAAGUGCCUGAAAGCAGAAGAAAAGAUGAGCGGGGUGAAAGAAAUAAGAGAGGCUCUAUCCCAGCUUUUCUCUCCAGUUUUCGAACUGCGCGGUGCUGCUGCUGCCUGGUGACCGAGACCGGCACUGCCGCCCCCACAGCCGUCCCCGCUGUCCCCUGACGGGUGACAUGACACCGGCGCCACUCCCAAGAUGGCAGAAGCGGCAUAACUCAAGUGACAGGACACUACAGAUGGCCGCUCGGGCAGCCGAAAAGACAGACGCCUUUGUGAGCAGUGGGGGCGGCCUUAACUGUACCACACCAAGGAUGGCGCCUUAGCCCGAAAGGGUUUCUGCCAGCACCCAAGAUGGCGACAAAGGGCGACAGUCUUCUGAUGCCACACCAAAGAUGGCGGCUCGGCGCGCCACUCCUUGUCCUUCCAGAUGGCGACAUGGUGCGCAUGCGCCUUAGGCAGGGGAAAAUGGCGGCCCGGAAGCACCGUGCUGCUUCCGUUCGGCUGAAUGAACGCGGCGCCGGCGCCGUUCCAGCGCUUUCAGCGCGGUUUUUUGUGGCGUUUCCCGAUGUGCGAAUACGGGUUGUGGGGCCAGCAGAGCCGGGAGCAGCCAGCAGGAUGCAGUUUCGCGGGAGCAAUGUGGCACAAAUUCCAGUGAUGGGAAGAGGCUGGAAGAAGCUGGAUUUCAGACAGGAGGCCAUGGAUUAUGCACCAGUGAAGGAGCUGCUGAACAUGAAAGGCAUCAGUGAAAAGUGAAACCAAAGCUGACAAAAUCCCAGUAAGGAUGUUCUGGAACUUUAACCCCAGAUAUUCCACUGGUUUAUCUCUGCUGGCUGAAAAUGUUGUGGUGAAUUUGGAAGGUCUCCAAAGGGCAGUAAAGGUGAUUGGAGUUGUGACAUGACUUGUGAUGGGAAAAAUGCACCAGGACAAGACUGAACUGAAGAGAAGGAUAUUUCUAUAGAACACACGAAAGGGAUGUUGGAGAUUUUUAUUGGAACAGAAUUUCAGUUCUGUGCAGAGGUAUCAACUCAUGCAAGGUCUGUGAAAUAUGCAUGGAAUAAUACAGGCACCUCUCCACGAGGCAGGAAAUAUUAAUUACUGGGGGUUAAUGAAUGGCGUGAGCUCUCCUGACACUGCUCAGUUGAGUUUUCCCUCAGGCUGAGGCAGCCAAACUGUUCCCAUGGGCUUCACCACGGCCACAGAAUUCCACCAGCAAUGGUCAGAGCUCAUCCAGAUCACCACUGGCUCCAAAGAGCUGGACAAGCUGCUUCAAGGUCAGCAUUUUAUUAUUUCUUUUUCCUGCUUAAGCUCAGUUAUUGGGGUGGGAUUUUCCCAUGAGUUUGAUCUUUGUAUGGAACCACGUAAAACAAGUCUUGGUUGGAUGAAAGACUUCCAGGCUGCUCUUGAAUAAUUGCUUUUAUUUUAAAAGCUGCAGAACUAGUCUUUAAUUCUUUUAGUCAUGAUGCAAGAGCCAGAGCUGUCCAUUUGUGGAUGUUUCUGGUUUAUUUAAGUCUGUGAUGUGUUUAGGGAAAACAAAACCAGGCAUCACCAUCUCCCCAUUCCUUUGGUAAACCAAAAAUUAAAACAAGUAAUUUCAGCUCUUCAGCAUCUUCAGAAACACACCUGAACUUCUUGUCCACAUGAACAAAUCUCAGGAUGACAAGAAGUCUUCCCUCUUAGUUUUGAAACUUUCAGCCAAAUUCA
ensembl:lncRNA